rnacentral:rRNA from 1 species
AUUGAACGCUGGCGGCAGACCUAACACAUGCAAGUCGAGCGGAUGAAGGGAGCUUGCUCCUGGAUUCAGCGGCGGACGGGUGAGUAAUGCCUAGGAAUCUGCCUGGUAGUGGGGGAUAACGUCCGGAAACGGGCGCUAAUACCGCAUACGUCCUGAGGGAGAAAGUGGGGGAUCUUCGGGCCUCACGCUAUCAGAUGAGCCUAGGUCGGAUUAGCUAGUUGGUGGGGUAAAGGCCUACCAAGGCGACGAUCCGUAACUGGUCUGAGAGGAUGAUCAGUCACACUGGAACUGAGACACGGUCCAGACUCCUACGGGAGGCAGCAGUGGGGAAUAUUGGACAAUGGGCGAAAGCCUGAUCCAGCCAUGCCGCGUGUGUGAAGAAGGUCUUCGGAUUGUAAAGCACUUUAAGUUGGGAGGAGGGGCAGUAAGUUAAUACCUUGCUGUUUUGACGUUACCAACAGAAUAAGCACCGGCUAACUUCGUG